rnacentral:rRNA from 1 species
UACGUAGGGGGCGAGCGUUGUCCGGAAUUACUGGGCGUAAAGGGCGCGUAGGUGGUUCAUUAAGUUAGAGGUGAAAGUUCGGGGCUCAACCCCGUGAGGCCUCUGAUACUGGUGGACUUGAGUGCAGGAGAGGGGAGCAGAAUUCCCAGUGUAGCGGUGAAAUGCGUAGAUAUUGGGAGGAAUACCAGUGGCGAAGGCGGCUCUCUGGACUGUAACUGACACUGAGGCGCGAAAGCGUGGGGAGCAAACAGG